rnacentral:snRNA from 1 species
GCCCACUUUGGCAGCACAUCUAUCACAUUGAACCAAUACAGAGAUUGGCCUGGCCCUUGUGCAAGAUAACACUCACAUUUGUGAAAUGUUCCAUAUUUUU